rnacentral:rRNA from 1 species
AUGAACGCUGGCGGCGUGCUUAAUACAUGCAAGUCGAACGGAGAGUGUAGCAAUAUGCUCUUAGUGGCGAACGGGUGAGUAACGCGUUGGUGACCUACCUCAAAGUGAGGGAUAACAGUUCGAAAGGACUGCUAAUACCCCAUGUGGUCACGGAAAUUAGAUGGUCCGUGACUAAAGGAGCAAUUCGCUUUGAGAGGGGCCUGCGUCCCAUCAGCUUGUUGGUAGGGUAAAAGCCUACCAAGGCGACGACGGGUAGGGGACCUGAGAGGGUGACCCCCCACACUGGCACUGAAACACGGGCCAGACACCUACGGGUGGCAGCAGUAGGGAAUAUUGCCCAAUGGACGAAAGUCUGAGGCAGCAACGCCGCGUGCGCGAUGAAGGCCUUCGGGUCGUAAAGCGCUUUUCGGGGAGAUGAGGAAGGACAGUAUCCCCGGAAUAAGUCUCGGCUAACUACGU